GUGCAAUUUCAGGGAAGGUGAAACUCCUUACUGGCGGUAGCGCAACGGGCCCGUGCCCGCAUGCGGAGCCCGCAACCCGCGCAAGCGGUGGAUCUGGUGCGAGUCCAGGGCCAACGGUUAUAGUCCGGAUGAAAGAAAUGAGCU
rnacentral:ncRNA from 2 species